AGAUAUAUAUGAGAGAUAGAAACCCAGUGUGUUUCGACACACUAUCAUUAACUGAAUCCAUAGGUUAAUGAGGCGAACCGGGGGAACUGAAACAUCUAAGUACCCCGAGGAAAAGAAAUCAACCGAGAUUCCCCCAGUAGCGGCGAGCGAACGGGGAGGAGCCCAGAGCCUGAAUCAGUGUGUGUGUUAGUGGAAGCGUCUGGAAAGGCGCGCGAUACAGGGUGACAGCCCCGUACACAAAAAUGCACAUAUUGUGAGCUCGAUGAGUAGGGCGGGACACGUGGUAUCCUGUCUGAAUAUGGGGGGACCAUCCUCCAAGGCUAAAUACUCCUGACUGACCGAUAGUGAACCAGUACCGUGAGGGAAAGGCGAAAAGAACCCCGGCGAGGGGAGUGAAAAAGAACCUGAAACCGUGUACGUACAAGCAGUGGGAGCCUCUUAAUGGGGUGACUGCGUACCUUUUGUAUAAUGGGUCAGCGACUUAUAUUCUGUAGCAAGGUUAACCGAAUAGGGGAGCCGAAGGGAAACCGAGUCUUAACUGGGCGUUAAGUUGCAGGGUAUAGACCCGAAACCCGGUGAUCUAGCCAUGGGCAGGUUGAAGGUUGGGUAACACUAACUGGAGGACCGAACCGACUAAUGUUGAAAAAUUAGCGGAUGACUUGUGGCUGGGGGUGAAAGGCCAAUCAAACCGGGAGAUAGCUGGUUCUCCCCGAAAGCUAUUUAGGUAGCGCCUCGUGAAUUCAUCUCCGGGGGUAGAGCACUGUUUCGGCAAGGGGGUCAUCCCGACUUACCAACCCGAUGCAAACUGCGAAUACCGGAGAAUGUUAUCACGGGAGACACACGGCGGGUGCUAACGUCCGUCGUGAAGAGGGAAACAACCCAGACCGCCAGCUAAGGUCCCAAAGUCAUGGUUAAGUGGGAAACGAUGUGGGAAGGCCCAGACAGCCAGGAUGUUGGCUUAGAAGCAGCCAUCAUUUAAAGAAAGCGUAAUAGCUCACUGGUCGAGUCGGCCUGCGCGGAAGAUGUAACGGGGCUAAACCAUGCACCGAAGCUGCGGCAGCGACACUAUGUGUUGUUGGGUAGGGGAGCGUUCUGUAAGCCUGUGAAGGUGUACUGUGAGGUAUGCUGGAGGUAUCAGAAGUGCGAAUGCUGACAUAAGUAACGAUAAAGCGGGUGAAAAGCCCGCUCGCCGGAAGACCAAGGGUUCCUGUCCAACGUUAAUCGGGGCAGGGUGAGUCGACCCCUAAGGCGAGGCCGAAAGGCGUAGUCGAUGGGAAACAGGUUAAUAUUCCUGUACUUGGUGUUACUGCGAAGGGGGGACGGAGAAGGCUAUGUUGGCCGGGCGACGGUUGUCCCGGUUUAAGCGUGUAGGCUGGUUUUCCAGGCAAAUCCGGAAAAUCAAGGCUGAGGCGUGAUGACGAGGCACUACGGUGCUGAAGCGACAAAUGCCCUGCUUCCAGGAAAAGCCUCUAAGCAUCAGGUAACAUCAAAUCGUACCCCAAACCGACACAGGUGGUCAGGUAGAGAAUACCAAGGCGCUUGAGAGAACUCGGGUGAAGGAACUAGGCAAAAUGGUGCCGUAACUUCGGGAGAAGGCACGCUGAUAUGUAGGUGAAGCGACUUGCUCGUGGAGCUGAAAUCAGUCGAAGAUACCAGCUGGCUGCAACUGUUUAUUAAAAACACAGCACUGUGCAAACACGAAAGUGGACGUAUACGGUGUGACGCCUGCCCGGUGCCGGAAGGUUAAUUGAUGGGGUUAGCGGUAACGCGAAGCUCUUGAUCGAAGCCCCGGUAAACGGCGGCCGUAACUAUAACGGUCCUAAGGUAGCGAAAUUCCUUGUCGGGUAAGUUCCGACCUGCACGAAUGGCGUAAUGAUGGCCAGGCUGUCUCCACCCGAGACUCAGUGAAAUUGAACUCGCUGUGAAGAUGCAGUGUACCCGCGGCAAGACGGAAAGACCCCGUGAACCUUUACUAUAGCUUGACACUGAACAUUGAGCCUUGAUGUGUAGGAUAGGUGGGAGGCUUUGAAGUGUGGACGCCAGUCUGCAUGGAGCCGACCUUGAAAUACCACCCUUUAAUGUUUGAUGUUCUAACGUGGGCCCCUUACCGGGGUUGCGGACAGUGUCUGGUGGGUAGUUUGACUGGGGCGGUCUCCUCCUAAAGAGUAACGGAGGAGCACGAAGGUUGGCUAAUCCUGGUCGGACAUCAGGAGGUUAGUGCAAUGGCAUAAGCCAGCUUGACUGCGAGCGUGACGGCGCGAGCAGGUGCGAAAGCAGGUCAUAGUGAUCCGGUGGUUCUGAAUGGAAGGGCCAUCGCUCAACGGAUAAAAGGUACUCCGGGGAUAACAGGCUGAUACCGCCCAAGAGUUCAUAUCGACGGCGGUGUUUGGCACCUCGAUGUCGGCUCAUCACAUCCUGGGGCUGAAGUAGGUCCCAAGGGUAUGGCUGUUCGCCAUUUAAAGUGGUACGCGAGCUGGGUUUAGAACGUCGUGAGACAGUUCGGUCCCUAUCUGCCGUGGGCGCUGGAGAACUGAGGGGGGCUGCUCCUAGUACGAGAGGACCGGAGUGGACGCAUCACUGGUGUUCGGGUUGUCAUGCCAAUGGCACUGCCCGGUAGCUAAAUGCGGAAGAGAUAAGUGCUGAAAGCAUCUAAGCACGAAACUUGCCCCGAGAUGAGUUCUCCCUGACUCCUUGAGAGUCCUGAAGGAACGUUGAAGACGACGACGUUGAUAGGCCGGGUGUGUAAGCGCAGCGAUGCGUUGAGCUAACCGGUACUAAUGAACCGUGAGGCUUAACCUU
rnacentral:rRNA from 1 species